rnacentral:miRNA from 1 species
UCACAUGCUCAACUCUGUAAAGCAAGAAGAGGUGAAGAAGAGGUGAAGCCCUCUUCUUCCUUUACAGAGUUGAAUAUGUAG